CCGGAUGAGGGAGGGGGAAAACCACCUGUUGACAAUUAGAGGCAUGCGGAUGGAAUCCUAGGACGAGGAUAAAACAUCAAAGGAGGCGGGGGAGGCAGUGCUGAGAAGAGCACAACUAGAAACUGAGUGACAUCUCUGCCCAAAUCGUUUUUCGCUCCUUUGACAUUGUCUAGUCUCUCGAAUUUCCUCUUGAACUCCCCUGAAAACCUACACCUGCCUCCCCAGCCUCGGAAGAGGCAUGAAACCAGCCGAGGGAGCCGCAGUUUCAACAGUCAAGCCCUUUGGAAAGUGUUUUCGAGGGGGUGCAGGACAGGUGUCAGGAAGGGCAGCUAGGCGCUUCAAAGCUUCCCCCCAUCUGGCAGUGCCCCGGCUAGGUGGUGGCCGCCACAGCCUGGGCGAAGCCGGCUUCUUCCGAGGAUGGGCGCCAGCGUCUCCCACUUUCUUUUAUGACUUCUGGGGGUCAUUCUCCGGCGUCUGAGCGAAAGGGGGAAGCCACGAAGGCGAGUCAGGAAGAGUAUGGAGGGAAGGGAAAGGGGGAAAGGGGGAGUAAAUCCCUUACCCGUUCGCUGCCCCGGUAGAAGGGCGAGGAGCCCAGACGUAUCCCUGUAAUCCAUUACGAGCAGCCUUCGGUAGCAAUCCGAGUCCCCUGCCAAGCGGAAAAGCCCAGACAGGCAGGUAGGAGAGACAGCUCGCUAGAUAAGCAAGCUGCCUCGCUGGCAAAGGCAAGGGAGCUCUGCCUCCCCUCCCCUCCCCUCCCCUCCCCACCCCACGCGCGCGCCUCCCUCCCUCCCCGCCUACCCGAACCCUUCCCCGCACUCUGCGUCUCUCUUACGCCUGGAAACAGGCAGGGGAGCGGAGGAGGACUGGUGAGUGCCUGUCUGGGUGCGCCUGGGUUGUUUUGAAGAGUCUGGAACUCGAGUGGAUCGGUACCCACGCCUCAUGGUAGCGUUCGCAGGACACCUCGUCGGAGACAAAGGAAAGGCCUCUCUCGAAGAUCCCCGGGCCCUAAUGCGCAUGGAACUGGACGAGCGAAGUCCAACAAACCCUCGUUUGGCGACACAUCCAUUCAUUUGCAACGCUGGAGAAGGCGCCGGGAAUUCUAUGCUCCGAAAAAGAAGCAAGAGUUCAACUGGAUGGACGAUUAGAAAAAAUGUGGGGGUGGAGGUGGGGGGUGGAGAGAGAAAACAUGCCCUCCAAAGUUUAAAACUGACUCCUCUCGAACGUUAAGUCUCAGAGCAGUCGAUACACCCUGUCUUGUGUCUGUCUUGUGCCUCAUUCGCUUACAGUGCUAUUUAUUCAGGUUUGUUCCUUUUCCUUGCUGCAUACCUAACCACACUUUCUAAGAAGUAAGACUCCUCGAACGCUCCUCCACAUGCAGCUGAGUGAACGGGGGUGUAAGCUGCUGCCAUGUUGCAGCAGGCGUGUGGUUCCUAGGCAAAAAACACUCCCUUUAACCCUGAUCUAUUAUUUGGAUCUGAAGUGUGAUUGACAUCGGUGACACUUUCUUCCAAGGAAUCAUACCAAGCUGGGGGUGGUAGCGGGAAGCCGGAAUAUUGGCCUCUGUCGAUCCCGCAAGAGUCAGCUAUCCAAACUGGCUUUACCUGGAUUUUGCUGCCUCCCACUGUGACUCAAAAGUCGCCUUUUAAUACUUGGCGAAUUCCUCCCAUUAUUUAUGACCAUAUUGUGCGGUUAGGGUGUAAGCGCCUUCUGUUUGAAAGCGAUGCUCCUGGCAUUUGGACAUGUUCAGACUCACUUGAGAUUUGCUUCCAAGUCAGCAGUGCAAUAAGGGUCGGUUUGCAUGUCUGAAAUGUGGGGGUUUUAUCUUAAAGGACUGCAUGGCAACUCGGUAAACUGGAUUUCAACCCGUUUCCAAAAUGGCCGCUUCUCCGUAAAUGUUCUGGAUCGACAGACUCUAGAGCAGUGUUAUGUCUGAUGGCAUUAAUUAGAAUUGUCAUUCAUGGUGAAUUGUGGAUGGAAAUAUAUCGAUUAAAUACAUUAUAAAGUACACUUACAAACAUUAGGAAAUACAUUAUACAGUGCGCUUUUAAAUAUCUUCAGGAGAACAUUCGUGUAGCAUAUAUUAGCAAUUCUCUCCUAUCUUGUCUUCAGGCAUUUUAAUCCAAUUUUGGAAUUAACAUUGGAUAAAUACUGGAUACUCUCUUUUUCUAGUUGAAAGGGUUUUUCGGUUGAGAUGCUCAAAAUUGCCUCUCCCUCCCCUAGGGCUUCACUUAACUAAGCCUUGCCAUUCAUUGCAAACGUAUUGAUAUUUUACUAAUAAUGUCUACAAAUAUUUAACAUGUAUAUUUACUGGGUUUGUUUGUUUGUUUGUUUGUUUUUAAGUCACAAUCUGGAAGUUCAUUUGUCUUGCAUCCGCAUAACUAAUCGCAGACUGACCACUGAGCUGUUUUGCCGCAUUUAUGCAAAUCAAUGCACCAAAUUGUUUGCUUCACAGUUCCCUCCCCCCCUUUUUGCCGCAGUUCCUCUACGUGGACGAGUUCCCUGCCCACUAGGGCGCUGACGGUGGAAUGCGGUGCAAGGAAUGCGUUUGGUUCGGGAAGGGGCUUCUUUCUGAAUGCGAAAAGAGCCUCGGAAAUUAUAGCUGCAGGGAGUAUCUUUCCCUUUCUUUGUAGCUAGCCGAUUUCACCCCAACGUAACUGUACAUAUUUCCCAAGAAAAGAAUUCGACCAGAGCCAAUAUUAAUGCACAAGCACACAGCAAAAAAGUCACAGUGAACAAGACUCAUUCUCGGUGUGUGUGGGGUGGUGGUGGUUGAAGGAGGCAUCAUCUUAUUAAGGCGCGAUCCUCCCAAUUCUAGUUAAGUGAGAAAAGAAUUUGACCUGGUAUAUAUAUCCUUACUAAAAGCCUUGUUUUACUUCGCUUCCUGUAGCAGCAGAAUAGCAAAGUUAAUUUGCUUCAAGCGGCUUCAUAUGAGUAAAAUUAAAAUUAAAAUUAAAAAAAAUCACUGGCCGCCUCCAAGGCUGAUAAUAGCAGCGGGCGGGAUUCAGCUAGAGAACUUCUGCACAGAUUUAGCGCAGUGGAAGAGCAACAGAA